UACGUAUGUCACAAGCGUUAUCCGGAUUUAUUGGGCGUAAAGCGCGUCUAGGUGGUUAUGUAAGUCUGAUGUGAAAAUGCAGGGCUCAACUCUGUAUUGCGUUGGAAACUGUAUAACUAGAGUACUGGAGAGGUAAGCGGAACUACAAGUGUAGAGGUGAAAUUCGUAGAUAUUUGUAGGAAUGCCGAUGGGGAAGCCAGCUUACUGGACAGAUACUGACGCUGAAGCGCGAAAGCGUGGGUAGCAAACAGG
rnacentral:rRNA from 1 species